AUUUGAUGCCUGGCAGUUCCCUACUCUCGCAUGGGGAGACCCCACACUACCAUCGGCGCUACGGCGUUUCACUUCUGAGUUCGGCAUGGGGUCAGGUGGGACCACCGCGCUANNNNNNNNNNNNNNNNNNNNAGGUGGGACCACCGCGCUACUGCCGCCAGGCAAAUUCUGUUAUCAGACCGUUUUUACGUUCUGAUGUAAUCUGAAUCAGUGCUGAAAAUCGUCUCUCAUCCNNNNNNNNNNNNNNNNNNNNGAAUCAGUGCUGAAAAUCGUCUCUCAUCCGCCAAAACAUCUUCGGCGUUGUAAGGUUAAGCCUCACGGUUCAUUAGUACCGGUUAGCUCAACGCAUCGCUGCGCUUACACACCCGGCCUAUCAACGUCGUCGUCUUCAACGUUCCUUCAGGAGACCUAAAGUCUCAGGGAGAACUCAUCUCGGGGCAAGUUUCGUGCUUAGAUGCUUUCAGCACUUAUCUCUUCCGCAUUUAGCUACCGGGCAGUGCCAUUGGCAUGACAACCCGAACACCAGUGAUGCGUCCACUCCGGUCCUCUCGUACUAGGAGCAGCCCCCCUCAGUUCUCCAGCGCCCACGGCAGAUAGGGACCGAACUGUCUCACGACGUUCUAAACCCAGCUCGCGUACCACUUUAAAUGGCGAACAGCCAUACCCUUGGGACCUACUUCAGCCCCAGGAUGUGAUGAGCCGACAUCGAGGUGCCAAACACCGCCGUCGAUAUGAACUCUUGGGCGGUAUCAGCCUGUUAUCCCCGGAGUACCUUUUAUCCGUUGAGCGAUGGCCCUUCCAUUCAGAACCACCGGAUCACUAUGACCUGCUUUCGCACCUGCUCGCGCCGUCACGCUCGCAGUCAAGCUGGCUUAUGCCAUUGCACUAACCUCCUGAUGUCCGACCAGGAUUAGCCAACCUUCGUGCUCCUCCGUUACUCUUUAGGAGGAGACCGCCCCAGUCAAACUACCCACCAGACACUGUCCGCAACCCGGGUAACGGGUCCACGUUAGAACAUCAAACAUUAAAGGGUGGUAUUUCAAGGUCGGCUCCAUGCAGACUGGCGUCCACACUUCAAAGCCUCCCACCUAUCCUACACAUCAAGGCUCAAUGUUCAGUGUCAAGCUAUAGUAAAGGUUCACGGGGUCUUUCCGUCUUGCCGCGGGUACACUGCAUCUUCACAGCGAGUUCAAUUUCACUGAGUCUCGGGUGGAGACAGCCUGGCCAUCAUUACGCCAUUCGUGCAGGUCGGAACUUACCCGACAAGGAAUUUCGCUACCUUAGGACCGUUAUAGUUACGGCCGCCGUUUACCGGGGCUUCGAUCAGGAGCUUCGCUUGCGCUGACCCCAUCAAUUAACCUUCCGGCACCGGGCAGGCGUCACACCGUAUACGUCCACUUUCGUGUUUGCACAGUGCUGUGUUUUUAAUAAACAGUUGCAGCCAGCUGGUAUCUUCGACUGACUUCAGCUCCAUGAGUAAAUCACUUCACCUACGUGUCAGCGUGCCUUCUCCCGAAGUUACGGCACCAUUUUGCCUAGUUCCUUCACCCGAGUUCUCUCAAGCGCCUUGGUAUUCUCUACCUGACCACCUGUGUCGGUUUGGGGUACGAUUUGAUGUUACCUGAUGCUUAGAGGCUUUUCCUGGAAGCAGGGCAUUUGUUGCUUCAGCACCGUAGUGCCUCGUCGUCACGCCUCAGUGUUAAAGUGAACCGGAUUUACCUGGAACACACACCUACACGCUUAAACCGGGACAACCGUCGCCCGGCCAACAUAGCCUUCUCCGU
rnacentral:rRNA from 1 species